rnacentral:rRNA from 1 species
UGGGGAAUAUUGGACAAUGGGGGCAACCCUGAUCCAGCAAUGCCGCGUGUGUGAAGAAGGUCUUCGGAUUGUAAAGCACUUUCGACGGGGACGAUGAUGACGGUACCCGUAGAAGAAGCCCCGGCUAACUUCGUGCCAGCAGCCGCGGUAAUACGAAGGGGGCUAGCGUUGCUCGGAAUGACUGGGCGUAAAGGGCGUGUAGGCGGUUUACACAGUCAGAUGUGAAAUCCCCGGGCUUAACCUGGGAGCUGCAUUUGAUACGUGUAGACUAGAGUGUGAGAGAGGGUUUGUGGAAUUCCCAGUGUAGAGGUGAAAUUCGUAGAUAUUGGGAAGAACACCGGUGGCGAAGGCGGCAACCUGGCUCAUGACUGACGCUGAGGCGCGAAAGCGUGGGGAGCAAGCAGGAUUAGAU